GGAGAUGUAUCGAAGUGGUCAUAACGAGGCGGUCUUGAAAACCGUUUGCCUUCACGGGCACCAGGGUUCGAAUCCCUGCGUCUCCGCCA
rnacentral:tRNA from 1 species